AUUGAACGCUGGCGGCAUGCUUUACACAUGCAAGUCGAACGGUAACAGGGUGCUUGCACCGCUGACGAGUGGCGAACGGGUGAGUAAUGCGUCGGAACGUGCCGAGUAGUGGGGGAUAACGCAGCGAAAGUUGUGCUAAUACCGCAUACGUACUGAGGUAGAAAGUGGGGGACCUUCGGGCCUCACGCUAUUCGAGCGGCCGACGUCUGAUUAGCUAGUAGGUGAGGUAAAGGCUCACCUAGGCGACGAUCAGUAGCGGGUCUGAGAGGAUGGUCGGCCACACUGGGACUGAGACACGGCCCAGACUCCUAAGGGAGGCUGCAGUGGGGAAUUUUGGACAAUGGGCGAAAGCCUGAUCCAGCCAUGCCGCGUGUCUGAAGAAGGCCUUCGGGUUGUAAAGGACUUUUGUCAGGGAGGAAAUCCCUAGUGCUAAUAACACUGGGGGAUGACAGUACCUGAAGAAUAAGCACCGGCUAACUACGUGCCAGCCGCCGCUGUAA
rnacentral:rRNA from 1 species